UUCGUAAUUGGCAGAGCUUUG
rnacentral:piRNA from 1 species